ACCCCUGGCAUGGUUACAUCUGGAGAACCACAGCAUGAACAAGAUUAUGGAGAAAGGAAUCAGCGUUGUUUAUAUGGGGAACCAUGAGAAACCCCGUGCAGCUGGAGUGGCGGCCUCGCAUAUCAAAUAGACAGAGGCAUUUUUCCACUGUGGACACCAGACCAGGUAUGGACAGAAUGCAAAGGAGACUCCAAGUCUGUCUGGAUUUUGUUUUCUGAAAGCUGAAGUCUAGAAGAAUUUGAAGAAAUGAUGGAAGAGUUUAAAAAAAAAAGAAUGAUGCUUGAAAGGUAUGGAACUUUCUGAGGUAAGGCAACUAUUAGGUUGUAGAAUUGGGUUUUGAAUGCAGUGCAGAUUUCUCUCUUUCUUUCUCCUGUGUUCUUUCUCACCCUUGUUUCCACUAGUGAUUCUACCUUCUUUCUACAGCGGCAAUAUUUAUUUUAACAAAUGUACAUAAUUUAUAGACCAUGCUAAUUUUUUUUGUCUUUAAAGUAGUAACUUUGUGUGAAUAUUCCAAUAAUAUUACUUUUUACAAAACAAAUUUAGAGCACCCUCAGGAUUUGCCUUUAAAGGCAGAUUAUGAGGCCUGGAAGAAGAGUUUUAUUUCAUGUUUUCUCACAUCAUACGUGUCUAAAAUUGACAAUGAAUUGGUUACUGACAAUUAGCAUAAAGUUUGGUAUUGGAUAACUAGUGGGUAAUUUAAAAACAUUCUCAAUGGAUAAAAGAUAUCACAUCUCCAUUGACUUUAGGGAAAAAAGUAUGUUAAGAGCUCUUAAGGCUAUUUAAGAAAAAGACUUGAAGUGUGAUAUCAUAGCAUUUCAGAACUGAAACAGAUCUUUGUCCAUCUUCCUUUUUCAGCCCAAAGAUACUUUCAAGUGGUUUAAAGAUAACAUACAGAUUAUUACAUUAGAAACACAAAGUUAUUCAAGAAAAUGUUCACCAAAAAUAUUUUUUUCUGUUUUUACAUAUUCGUAAGACAUUUAAUUCCAAGAAGGAGAUUUAAUGUCUACCACUAGAGCGAAUGAAACAGUGAAGACAGAUUUCUACUUAAUCCCCCUGAAAUAAAGAAAGCUAAUUUUUAAGGCUUAAUAUGACAAUGAAGAGUAAGAAUUUCACAAAAUCCAGGUGGAUAAAUGAUAUCGAUAUUAUAU